rnacentral:rRNA from 1 species
GAAAAUCAAAAGAAAAAUAAAACGCUAGCAAAAAGGCCGGCGCAGAGCGCCACCACCCACCACACAAACAGCCAGCCGCUGCCGUCCUCGGUCCUCCCGACGGCCGGCGAUGGCGACCCUGGGCGUGCUACUGCUGCUGCUCCGGAGGAACGCUCACCUAGAGCAGGAUCUCGACCUUCGCUUCCGCCUCUUCCGCUACUGGGACUCCCUACCCGAUGGGCACGCCUAGUUCCUUCGCGCCAACGCCUCCGCCAUCGGCCCCUCAUUGGCAACCCCGAUGCCGCAUCGAUGUGCCGCCGUCCUUCUCUGUGGGGACGGACUACGUCGACCUCCCAAGUACCGGGAGCGCCGCACCCGCGUCACCAACAUCCCCAACUUCCUCACCGACGACGUUGCCGGCCUCGCUAUCUUUGUGCCAAGGGAGACCGCGCAGGCUGACUGCUACAUGCACGCCGGCUUGUGGAAGGCAAGAGGAACUACACAGUCACCACGCUGGUCAAAGGAAGAAGUCUAACCUGAAGAAGUGCAGGGAAGAAUUACAACUGCAUGUGGUCGGCUGGUUCAGGGGACGUUCAGGGUGGGCGCGGCGGCUCAUAUGCCGGGGCAGGCUCUUGGGCACUAGCGAUCUCGCAGACGGAUAUUAGAAAAAAAGGUGAAGGAGGGGCGGCCGCCCACUCGACGGUGCUGAUAAGGGCGGCGAGGGAGCCCGGAAGGUAGGCGUCGAUGCAGUGCAGGUCGACGACGAUCCGAUGCAGGGAUCAAGGUCGCCGUGUAGGGAGGCGUCGAUGCAGUGCAGGGUUGGCGAUGAAAGGCAGGGAGAGGGCGAGGACGCGAUUAGGUUGAGUUUUCUUUUUCGCGUGGUGGUUAGAUGGUUAGAUUAGUGUGAUUUGAGGGGCUAUGGAGGCUGGUCAGGGAGUUUCGUAUUUUCAUCUGAUGGAGUACGGUUAGUCUAUGUAAACUGCUAAGCGCACACAAGAUCUCGAAUAAAUUAAUGAUGGUUGUUAGAUGGGGUCGUUCGGGCUUCACCCUAUGGUGUUGAUGUCGGUUACGUGGUUGUGGACGUUUUGCAGGGUGCACUUAAGAAAGUUCUUCUUUGAUUGUUUAAUAGUAGUGGAGAUAAAAUAGUCAGUUUCAUAAUUAUUCACCAAAGAAAAUUAGUAUGAUGAUACAAUGCAAAAUAUAGCUCUUAGGAUUGUUGGACAAAAUAUAUCC